rnacentral:rRNA from 1 species
UUUGGAAUAGUACUAUUAAUGAAAUUUAACGGAUUUGGCGGCAAGAUAGCCACUUAGAGGAACCUGCCCUGUAAACGAUGAACCACGAUUAACCUUACUUUUAUUAGAAUCCAGUUUGUAUACCGCUGUUGUCAGUUAGUUUCUUUAGAAAACUUUCGUACAUGAAAAGUUCAAGGACUUCAAGUAAAGGUGCAGCUUAUGUAAAAGAUAGAGGUGGGUUACAAUUAAAAGAAUAAUAUGGAUAAAGUAGAGAAGAAACUUUUGAAGGUGGAUUUAAUAGUAAAGUUUAAAAAGACUUGAUUAGAGCUCUAUCUUGUGUACACACCGCCCGUCGCUCGCGGGAAAA